ACUCUCUUGGCUCUGUAUAGUUACACCUGGCUUCACUUGUGUGACUUUUGCAAUGGGAUGAGAGAAAAAAGGUCCCUUGGUACUUUUCAGCUCGGCCUUAUGGUGGCCUCUUUCCUUGAAGGGUGCAACAAAA
ensembl:snoRNA